UACAGAGGGGACUAGCGUUGUUCGGAAUUACUGGGCGUAAAGCGCACGUAGGCGGAUUUGUAAGUCAGGGGUGAAAUCCCGGGGCUCAACCUCGGAACUGCCUUUGAUACUGCAAAUCUCGAGUCCGGAAGAGGUGAGUGGAAUUCCUAGUGUAGAGGUGAAAUUCGUAGAUAUUAGGAAGAACACCAGUGGCGAAGGCGGCUCACUGGUCCGGUACUGACGCUGAGGUGCGAAAGCGUGGGGAGCAAACAGG
rnacentral:rRNA from 1 species